UAUUAUGCCCUCAGUUGGAUAUUUUUUACGCCUCUGCCACUGACCUAUUGUUUUUACUCUCUCUUCCUCGGUUCCUCCAGAAGCCUCCCAGACCGACUUUUUUGCUCUCUUUUUUCUUCCUCCUGCUUUCUAAACAGCCUCAGAUGACUGCCUCCUUAACUGCGGCUUUUCCUCCAACGCCACCUUCUUCAACGACUUCUUCAGCGGAGAUUUCAAUUCCGGCUCGGGUUUUGUCUUCAACAACAAAAUCGCACCUCCAAACUCACCCUCUCCUUACCACACAGCAAGAGGUCUCACCACUGCUUCAAGCUAUGGCUUAAGCAUCAGGAAAAUUGGAACUCACUUGCUUUGAUGAUAUAAUGGAACCUGUGCUGAUACGUGCAAUGGAAUCUUACAAAUGUCAUUAUAAGAUCAGAGUUCGAAUAUCAAGAUUGUGGAGAGCAAAAAGUACAAUACUGACAAAAAUGAUGGUCUGCAAUGCGUUUUGGUUGAUGAAAUGGGUGAUGCAGUUCAUGCAAUUGUAACUGAAUCUGAUUACCACUUGGUUCACAAAAAGCCAGGAGAGUUACAAAAUUGUUGAUCAUUAAGUGCAAGUGUACUUCAAUGCAAAAACUAUCUUUGAAUCAGUUGAAGAAAGCUUCCCACCAAUUCCACAACAUCGGUUCUAUUUUGUAGAUUUUGACCAGCUAAGGGCACACAUUAACAACAAUACAAUUCUCUCAGGUGAAUGAACAAACUACAAAUAAUAAAUCUUUAUUCAUUAUAUGACAUUUAAUAAUCUUCACUAACAGAAUCUUUGUUUGUUUGUUUUUUUUUUUAAUGCAAGAUGUUUAUAGCUGUUUGAAGUCAGU